AUUGAACGCUGGCGGCAUGCCUUACACAUGCAAGUCGAACGGCAGCACGGGUGCUUGCACCUGGUGGCGAGUGGCGAACGGGUGAGUAAUACAUCGGAACAUGUCCUGUAGUGGGGGAUAGCCCGGCGAAAGCCGGAUUAAUACCGCAUACGAUCUACGGAUGAAAGCGGGGGACCGUCGGGCCUCGCGCUGGAGGGUUGGCCGAUGGCUGAUUAGCUAGUUGGUGGGGUAAGGGCCUACCAAGGUGACGAUCAGUAGCUGGUCUGAGAGGACGACCAGCCACACUGGGACUGAGACACGGCCCAGACUCCUACGGGAGGCAGCAGUGGGGAAUUUUGGACAAUGGGCGAAAGCCUGAUCCAGCAAUGCCGCGUGUGUGAAGAAGGCCUUCGGGUUGUAAAGCACUUUUGUCCGGAAAGAAAUCCUUGGCCCUAAUACGGUCGGGGGAUGACGGUACCGGAAGAAUAAGCACCGGCUAACUACGUG
rnacentral:rRNA from 1 species